UGCAUUCUGCCUUAGACAAACAUAUGCAUUGUACUGGUACUUGUACUUGUAUGUCCCCUUUAUUUUCUGUGGAAUGGAUCUUAUACAAAAGCUUCUUCCAUUGUAGUCCUACUUCUCAUAGUGUAUCACAGCCUAUGAUUUGAGCUGCCAUGAAUUUUGUCCUACAAAGUCUAACCAACAACACCGACCUGUAGUUUCGCUGCUAGAGUGCUGUGUUUCUUUUGCAUCUUACCCCUCCAUACUGACAAGCUGCCAACACCUACUUUUAUCCUCCCUAUCAUCCUUUACAGGUGAGAACAAUUAACUUCUAGUGUUGUUGUCUGUACAUACAUGCAGGGAAGAAUAGGUUGGCUUGUUUUUCAUACUGGAACAAAGUAGAAUUACUUUGAAACCGGAAAGGUGUCUUAUUUAUCUGUAAGAAUUAAAAUACUUUUUCCAAUAACUAUGCGACAUUUACUGAUGACAGGCUAAUUUCCCAACAUUUUUGUCCGUAAGUCAGUCAUUACAUAAACAUUACCUGACACUGUGCCAGAGUGAGUACUACUGUCAUGUCAAUUUACUAUACAUCUUGUAAAAUCCUGCAUAUGUAGUUUGUAGUAUUGUCAAAUCCAUUUCCAGUCAUACUUUUUCUUUUAUGUACAAGUGAUGUAUUCUGAAAAGUGAAAGAAGGUGCUCAGCUGAGACUGCAAUAAAGUGAACUCAACUGCUGUUGUCAGUGUCAAGACAUAGGCAGCUUUUUAUUUCUCCCAUAGCAUAUAUACACUGUAUGUAACAAUGUAUAUGAUAUACGCUGGAUUUGAUAUGUUGU